GCCGGUGUAGCUCAAUGGUAGAGCACCCGCCUUGUAAGCGGACGGUUGGAGGUUCGAUUCCUCUCACCGGCUCCA
rnacentral:tRNA from 1 species